rnacentral:rRNA from 1 species
ACGCGUACCCAUCCCGAACACGGCCGUUAAGCCCUCCAGCGCCGAUGGUACUUGGACCGAAGGGUCCUGGGAGAGUAGGACGCCGCCAAGC